rnacentral:rRNA from 1 species
AUUCCAGCUCUGAUAGUAUAUAUUAAGGUUGUUGCAGUUAAAAAGCUCGUAGUUGAAACUUGGGUGUGUAGGGGCGGUCUCUUUUAGAGUACUACCCUGAAACAUCUUUCUUUGGUGUAAACUCUUUAUUCACUUAAGGAGUGUAAACCAAACAUUUACUUUGAAAAAAUUAGAGUGUUCAAAGCAGGCCUUUGCUCGAAUAUAUUAGCAUGGAAUAAUAGAAUAGGACGUAUGGUUCUAUUUUGUUGGUUUCUAGGACCGUCGUAAUGAUCAAUAGGGACGGUCGGGGGCAUCAGUAUUCAGUUGUCAGAGGUGAAAUUCUUGGAUUUACUGAAGACUAACUACUGCGAAAGCAUUUGCCAAGGACGUUUUCAUUG